GCCGGGAAAGAGAGGAAGGCGGUCCGUCGGGCGAGCGGCUGGGCUGCUGCAGCAGCCUCCUCCUCAGCCACCGUCGAGAGCCCCCCGGGCUUCUUCCGCUAACAUCUCGUCACUCGCUCGCCCGCCGUGCGCCCCAUCCUAGCACCACUUCUCCUGGGACGCCGCUUCCUCUUCCGCGGAGCCUCUCCGCGCAGCCCAACGUAACAACCAGGGGACGAAUCUUCCGCACAAGUUGCGAGAAGCGAACGAGCCACAAGGACGACAGAGUUCCAAAAGGGGGCGGGGCAGAGUGAGGAGCAGGGAGGGAAGGAACAGAAGACGCUUGCAGCAGCCAUUGGAGAAGCCCGGUGUAAGGAUGACUGGCAGAAGCGAAACUAACCAAUCCAGAAGCAGAAGCGCCACAAAUUACCUCAGAGGCGGGGACCUGGAACAACUCGACCUUAGGAAACCGAGAGAGUGACGCCAGAAUUGUCGAACGCGGGAGAAGCUAAUGAAAGAAGAUUGGGCUGCGAGCACAGGGCUGGGUUGAGCGGAUAGCCAAUGAAGGACGGGGAAAUGGUUGAAGAAGCGCCUUGAGUGCCUGUGCACGCGAGCAUGGAGUUUGUUUUCUUUUUCUGGUUGGUCGUGAACUUAGUCGGGGGAGGGAAAAGAACCCCCCCCCUCCGCUGCCUUCUGUGGUACCGGUGGCGCUGCCUGCGCCUUUUGCAAGGAGGACCAGUUAGUUUUGUUUACCCCCACUGGCCCUGCGGAACUGGGCAAUACACUUACCGCGGAGGAUUGCUUUAAACGCAUCCCAGAUUACAGGUUUCGAAACCCCACAUUCAGAAUUUAGGAUGAGGCCAGAGAUAUGAGUCUUCCUUGGAUGAUGGCCUUAAUAGCAUCCCAUACAACAUUUCUGAGGACAUCAUUAUGCAAUUGAUUUCAAAAUAGUUAGAUUUCUGAUUCAAUUUUUAAAAAGAUUGACCAAAUAAAAGAUUUAUUUUAAAACCA